CACAAAGAUGAAAGAGAAAGUGUCUUAGACAUUAUUGCUUAGCCUCUUACAGUGCUUUGCUGUUUUAGACAAUGAACUCCUAUUGUUUUUAUGCUACUUAAUUUAGAAUGCUCUCUGCACCACAAAGAGAGUGAUUGUGGAAGGCCUUUACACGCCUAACCUUUUUAUAGCUACCCUAAUAUAGUACAAUUAAGGCUUUAUUUUUUAUUGAGUUAUAAAUGAGAAUGUGAUACAUUCAUUUCAAUUAUAAUUUGUUUCUAACAUCUUCAUUUGUGAGAUUAUAAAACAAAGGGGAAAUCCUUAAUUUUCAUGUGUUUUGAGAAUUUGUUUUGUUAGAAAUGCUUUAAACUAAUUAAUGAGAGUAAUAACAGAUUUCUGCAAGUUGCAAGAUGUUCAAUUAACCACAGCUGCCCUUUGGGAACAUUCCCUGGACUUCAGCGAUGCAUUGAAGGUUUUGAGAAUCUAAGGCAAAGCUUCAAGCCUGACACAGGAGAGGAUUGUCUAAUAAUUAGAACAACAGACUGGGAGUUGGUUACCUUGAAUUGUAUUUUCGCUUUAGCAAGUUUUUCAGACUGACCUUGGGCAAAUUGCAUAAUCUUUUGGGGCUUCUUUAUCUUUCAAAUGCUGAUAGUACUAGCUUGAUUUUAGGCCUUUUAAAGGUCCUUGGAUGAAAGCUGUUUUAUAAGCUUGUAGUAUUAUCAGGAAAUGCCAGAUUUAGAAGUUAUUAUUAACUGUGGUAAGCAUGUGAAUGCACACUCACCCCCCUCCCAAGAUAGAAAAAGCAAAAAAAACAAAAAACAAAAAACCGACAAAGCAUUGUCAGAGCUCAACUGCUGGGUUGUCAUGGCCACGGUGUUCUUUUCAUGAUAUUUUGCAGAACAGUUCAUAGUCAGUAGUUACUUGUGGGUAUAAGUUGUGUUUUCACUAUUCUUUUCAGGUCAACAUUAUUUAUUGAUUGACUGCAGGCCUCAUUAUAUUCCAUUGGGUGGCUUUACAAAUGUCACCAUCAUGAACAUCUGACAUUCGUUCUGAUAACACAAGGGAAAUGACCUGACAAAAAUGUGGAAUCCCAAAAGAAAACAUGUUAUGUACAGAGCAAGAUGACUUGCUGACAAUCCAGAAGUCCUGGCCUGAAGUGCAUCUCUCAGUGGGAAUGGCCUGAUGUGAAAGAUAAUGGAGCAAAGACUCCUUCGCUCAUCAGGGACUCAGAGGAAGGCUCGCUCUGCCACUAAAUUUCCUCAAUCAUAAAAAAAGUAAAUGGCUCUGGAAAAGUUAUCUUUUAUAUGAAUUUAUUCAUUUAAAUAGUAUUAAGUAUCUACAAUAUGUUGGGUAGCUUGAUAGGCACUGAGAAAUCAAAGAUUAAUACAAUAUAGCUCAUAAUCUCCACAGAUUUACAAUAUAGUGGAAGAAACAGACAUCCAAACUAUGUAAUUUGGAAAUGUCUCGGUUUCAUUAGUUUAUGGGUAAAAUGGAGUGACUUAAAUUCCUCUGCUUCAUAGUUGUUCUUGAUAUCACAUAUCCCGCCUUCUUUAAUAACCCCCUGGGGAUUAUUAUGGGGAUUGCUGGAAGUAAUUCAUGUGUCUUCAAAAACGGUCUUUAUGUCUUCCUCUCUAGCCAUUCAUUUUUGGCCUGAUCACUGCUGUUGGAAUCCCAUAGGAAACAUUCUCUCAGGCAUCUAAAGACAGGAAAUUGUCUAGGAUGAACCCAGAAACUGGGUAACUAGUGGUAGCAUUAAACAAAAAGGGGUUUUGAAAUAAAAUAUGAGAUUUAAAAAAGGGGAAGGGGAAGUAGGAGAAAGAACAAAUUUUGAGGGGAAGUUAAGAAGUGACUAUUGUGUGUUUUAUACUGAAGGUGUCUGUCAGACACCCAAGUGGAGAUGACAAAUGAGAAGUUAUCAUUACCAUUCUGUUGCUCAGGAGAGAAAUGUGUAAAUUUGGGGAGUUAUUAGCUUAUAGUGGCUGUCAAAGCCAUAUUUGUUGUUGAGACUGCCCUGAGAUAGUUUUUAGAAAGUGGAGAAAAGAGGGAUACAUUACAGAGAAAGAGGUCAGGUUUGUUGUUGAAAUCAUGUUUCAGCAGGUAAGAGACUGGAGAGAAUAUAAAGAUAAAGGUACCUUAAAGGGAAUAAAGGAACAAGGGCUCAAAAUUAGGAGAUUUGUUAGCCAAAAACAGAGUUCAAUGACUUCCCAGUUUUGCUAAUGACUACUCCUUCUUCAUAGAAAUUUGAAAACUGAAAGCAACUGGUAUUAGUUUCCUUGUUGAGACUGUCUUUUCAAUAGCAUUCUUUAGCUGUCGUCUCCAUCCUCCUAAAAUCGAACCAAACCAAAUCAAACACCAUUCUAUGAUGUUUAUACACAUUUACUGAAGAUGCAAGCUGGAAGCUGGAUAGGAGGCUACAUGCCAAUGACAGAGUAAAUAAAAAUAAACUAAACCUAUAUUUUUGAGUUUGUGAUAUUAACAGUUUAAGUUCUUUUUACCAGUUCCAGUUUUAUUCUCUUUGCCUAAAGUGUUUCAUUAUUUCUAAACUUGGAAUUGCUAUCACUAGUAUUUCUAUUGUUAUUAUUAUUAAUACAUAUCUCUUUAUUUGGACCUCAGUUAUAUAAAAUUGGAUUAAUCCUAAUUUUUGCUAUCUGUAUGCCUAAAUAAUAUAUUUUCCUUGCUUAUUAUUAAACCUUUGGUAAGGGCAUCAAACGAUAUGUAGUCUCCUGUGACUGACUUUUUUACUUGACAUUAUGUUAAGAUUCAUAUGUAGUGUUGCUUAGAGUAAUGUAUUUUACCACUACACAGUAUUUCAUUGCAUAAAUACACGAUGAUUCUUUUUU